rnacentral:rRNA from 1 species
CAGGGAUUGCCUCAGUAACGGCGAGUGAAGCGGCAAAAGCUCAAAUUUGAAAUCUAGCACUUUCAGUGUUCGAGUUGUAAUUUGAAGAAGGUAACUUUGGUUUUGGCUCUUGUCUAUGUUCCUUGGAACAGGACGUCACAGAGGGUGAGAAUCCCGUGCGAUGAGAUGCCCAAUUCCAUGUAAAGUGCUUUCGAAGAGUCGAGUUGUUUGGGAAUGCAGCUCUAAGUGGGUGGUAAAUUCCAUCUAAAGCUAAAUAUUGGCGAGAGACCGAUAGCGAACAAGUACAGUGAUGGAAAGAUGAAAAGAACUUUGAAAAGAGAGUGAAAAAGUACGUGAAAUUGUUGAAAGGGAAGGGCUUGAGAUCAGACUUGGUAUUUUGCGUUCCCUUCCUUUUUGGUUGGGUUCCUCGCAGUUUACUGGGCCAGCAUCGGUUUGGAUGGUAGGAUAAUGACAUUGGAAUGUAGCUUUACUUCGGUGAAGUGUUAUAGACUUUGUUGAUACUGCCUAUCUAGACCGAGGACUGCGUCUUUGACUAGGAUGCUGGCGUAAUGAUCUUAAG